ACGUUUGUGAUUCAGUGGUAGAAUUCCUUCCUUUCAUGCAGGAGACCCAGGUUCAAUUCUCAGCCAAUGCA
rnacentral:tRNA from 1 species